rnacentral:sRNA from 1 species
GGGGGUGCACCGGUUUCGACGGGGUCGUUGAUAUCGGGAAAGCGGGUGGUGGAUUCUCGUUGGCCACCUUAAAAAACGGGAAUAGCAAGUAAUUGCUGAUUCUGAAAUGCUUGUAGCAGCUUGAUCUAAGCUACCGUCUUCUUUGACCUUCUGCCAUCUUUGAAAGACGUAUGCCGGCAGACCUUACCCGGGAGAGGUUAAACGGGGAAACCUCAUUCGCAAAGCUUUGAGCGUCUGUUGUAUCCAUGAAGCUACCGGCGGGCAUACCUGACAGCGGGUUCUGUCCAAAGGGAAUCUUACAAACACUGUCUGCACCCGGAGAUGUCCCGGAGGAUAUGGUUUCGGACAGGAGUUCGAUUCUCCUCACCUCCACCA